rnacentral:rRNA from 1 species
AUGCGGGGGUCCAGGACACCAUCUUGUGGAAGCAUACCAUUACUGGGAUCUAUUCCGCGUCCUUGGCUUACAAAGUUCAUUUCAUGGCCAUCACUCGCUCCGCCAUGUACAAUGUCAUCCGGAAAGCUUGGGCCCCUCCGAAAUUCAAGUUUUUUGCAUGGCUUGGGCCCCUCCGUAAUUCAUCAGGAGUCGGUUGAGCAUCUGUUCUUCCAGUGUAGAUACACGUUGCGGGUGUGGGAUCUGGUGAAGGAUUGGCUUCAUCUCUUUGAUGUUGAUACUUCCGGUUGGGAAGCAUUCAGAAGCAUCAAAGAUUGGUGGUGUGACAUGGCGUCCAUCCACAGCGCGCACAGCAGGGCGAUGCCAUCCUUGAUCAUGCUCGUUAGUAAGUCUAUCUGGGACGAGAGGAACGCGCAGGUUUUCCACGGCCACUAUGCCCCUACAUUCAUCCUUCUUCAGGCGAUCGAACAAGACUAUGCUUUGGGCCUUAGCGGGGGCAAAGCACUUGGGUCACUUCUUGCCGGGAGAGUAAGCGUCUUGUUUCUCUUCUUUUGA